rnacentral:rRNA from 1 species
UUGGCUUUACCCGAAGACGGUGCGCUAACCAGCAAUGGAGGCAGCCGGCCACGGUAGGGUCAGCGACUGGGGUGAAGUCGUAACAAGGUAGCCGUAGGUGAACCUGCAGAAGGAUCA